rnacentral:tRNA from 1 species
GGGCCGUUAGCGCAGUUGGUAGCGCGUUUGCAUGGCAUGCAAAAGGUCACCGGUUCAAAUCCGGUACGGUCCA